rnacentral:rRNA from 1 species
AACGAACGCUGGCGGCAGGCUUAAUACAUGCAAGUCGAGCGGAUCUUCAUUAGCUUGCUUUUGAAGAUCAGCGGCGGACGGGUGAGUAACACGUGGGCAACCUGCCUGUAAGACUGGGAUAACUUCGGGAAACCGGAGCUAAUACCGGAUAAUCCUUUUCCUCUCAUGAGGAAAAGCUGAAAGACGGUUUCGGCUGUCACUUACAGAUGGGCCCGCGGCGCAUUAGCUAGUUGGUGAGGUAACGGCUCACCAAGGCGACGAUGCGUAGCCGACCUGAGAGGGUGAUCGGCCACACUGGGACUGAGACACGGCCCAGACUCCUACGGGAGGCAGCAGUAGGGAAUCUUCCGCAAUGGACGAAAGUCUGACGGAGCAACGCCGCGUGAGCGAUGAAGGCCUUCGGGUCGUAAAGCUCUGUUGUCAGGGAAGAACAAGUACCGGAGUAACUGCCGGUACCUUGACGGUACCUGACCAGAAAGCCACGGCUAACUACGUGCCAGCCGCCGCAGUAAAAC